rnacentral:rRNA from 1 species
CCUACGGGCGGCAGCAGUGGGGAAUAUUGCACAAUGGGGGGGACCCUGAUGCAGCAACGCCGCGUGGGUGAAGAAGUACUCCGGUAUGUAAAGCCCUGUCAGCAGGGAAGAAAAUGACGGUACCUGACCAAGAAGCCCCGGCUAACUACGGGCCAGCAGCCGCGGUAAUACGUAGGGGGCAAGCGUUAUCCGGAUUUACUGGGUGUAAAGGGAGCGUAGACGGCCAGGCAAGUCGGGAGUGAAAGCCCGUGGCUCAACCACGGGACUGCUUUGGAAACUGUGUUGCUGGAGUGCAGGAGGGGUAAGCGGAAUUCCUAGUGUAGCGGUGAAAUGCGUAGAUAUUAGGAGGAACACCGGUGGCGAAGGCGGCUUACUGGACUGUAACUGACGUUGAGGCUCGAAGGCGUGGGGAGCAAACAGGAUUAGAUACCCCAGUAGUC